GAUGAAGAACGUAGCGAAAUGCGAUAAGUAAUGCGAAUUGCAGAAUUCAGUGAGUCAUCGAAUCUUUGAACGCACAUUGCGCCCUUUGGUAUUCCGAAGGGCAUGCCUGUUCGAGCGUCAUUAUCAACCCUCAAGCCUGGCUUGUUGUUGGACCUCACCUCGUCAAGAGAUGGGCCCAAAAGGCAAUGGCGGCGUCGUGAUGGACCCCCGGUGCAACGAGCUUUGUAGCACGCACGGUGCCGGUCGGUUCGGCCCGGUCUCAAAUAUGUUAUUUCUCAAGGUUGAUCUCGGAUCAGGUAGGAAUACCCGCUGAACUUAAGCAUAUCAAUAAGCGGAGGA
rnacentral:misc_RNA from 1 species